CGCGCGUUCCCAUUUUGUUGGUUUCUGAGAUCGCCGUAAUGAUUAAUAGGGAUAGUUGGGGGCAUUUGUAUUCCGUCGUCAGAGGUGAAAUUCUUGGAUUGCCGGAAGACAAACUACUGCGAAAGCAUUUGCCAAGGAUGUUUUCAUUGAUCAAGAACGAAGGAAGGGGGAUCGAAAACGAUUAGAUACCGUUGUAGUCUCUUCUGUAAACUAUGCCAAUUGGGGAUCGGUACAGGAUUUUUAAUGACUGUAUCGGCACCCGAAGAGAAAUCUUUGAAUGAGGUUCGGGGGGGAGUAUGGUCGCAAGGCUGAAACUUAAAGGAAUUGACGGAAGGGCACCACCAGGUGUGGAGCCUGCGGCUUAAUUUGACUCAACACGGGGAAACUCACCAGGUCCAGACACAAUAAGGAUUGACAGAUUGAUAGCUCUUUCUUGAUCUUGUGGUUGGUGGUGCAUGGCCGUUCUUAGUUGGUGGAGUGAUUUGUCUGGUUAAUUCCGAUAACGAACGAGACCUUAACCUGCUAAAUAGACCAGCCGGCUUUGGCUAGCUGCUGUCUUCUUAGAGGGACUAUCAGCGUUUAGCUGAUGGAAGUUUGAGGCAAUAACAGGUCUGUGAUGCCCUUAGAUGUUCUGGGCCGCACGCGCGCUACACUGACAGAGCCAGCGAGUCUACCACCUUUGCCGGAAGG
rnacentral:rRNA from 1 species